rnacentral:rRNA from 1 species
UACGUAGGGUGCGAGCGUUAAUCGGAAUUACUGGGCGUAAAGCGUGCGCAGGCGGUUAUGCAAGACAGAUGUGAAAUCCCCGGGCUCAACCUGGGAACUGCAUUUGUGACUGCAUAGCUAGAGUACGGUAGAGGGGGAUGGAAUUCCGCGUGUAGCAGUGAAAUGCGUAGAUAUGCGGAGGAACACCGAUGGCGAAGGCAAUCCCCUGGACCUGUACUGACGCUCAUGCACGAAAGCUAGGGGAGCAAACAGG